rnacentral:tRNA from 1 species
GCGGAAGUGGUGGAAUUGGUAGACACGCUGGAUGGCGUGAGAGUUCAAGUCUCUCCUUCCGCACCA